rnacentral:rRNA from 1 species
UACGAAGGGGGGCUAGCGUUGUUCGGAAUUACUGGGCGUAAAGGGCGCGUAGGCGGUGUGUCAAGUCAGGCGUGAAAGCCCCGGGCUCAACCUGGGAACCGCGCUUGAGACUGGCACGCUAGAGUUCGGGAGAGGAUGGUGGAAUUCCCAGUGUAGAGGUGAAAUUCGUAGAUAUUGGGAAGAACACCGAUGGCGAAGGCAGCCAUCUGGACCGACACUGACGCUGAGGCGCGAAAGCGUGGGGAGCGAACAGG